rnacentral:tRNA from 1 species
CAAGUUAAAGCUAUAAUAAGUAUUUUAUUUACAUUAAAAAGUUAAUUGUUAAAUUCAAUUUAAUUUGA